GGCGAGAUAUUUUUUAGUGGAUGAGCGCUUCAAAAGUCAAUUAAUUAGGGUUCCAACCAAAUACUCCCCUCCCAAAAUUUUAAUCUCUGCUUCUCACUCGCUCCGCUACGUCAAACUCUGCUCCCAUACGUUUGAUCUGAUCGAAGAACUAAGCCUCUUGCUGAGGUGGGCGAGCUAGGGUUAUAAUGGAGAAGAAGAUGAAGUUGUCUAUUUGCUGUGGACUCAAAGUAAGAGGAGAAAGUGCAAGAGAAAGAAGAGUCAGAUGAUCUGCACACGCCUGAACAGAAGAGUGAAGUUGUAAGCAAAGUCAACGAAACUAUUCUUGGAAUCUUCUUGAUUGUUAUAUAUUAUUGGAUUGAAAACUUGAACGUGGUUAUCAAGGAGUUCGUUAAGGAAAAGGAUGAAAAAAAAGAAAGAUUGAGAAGUUGAACUUAGUUAUCGUGGGGCUCGUUAAGGAAAAUGAUGAAGAAAAAGAAAGAUUAAAUGGAAUUAUUGCGGGGUUGUUGGCUGAAAAGAAAAAGAUAAGGUUGAUAAAGAUGCUAUGCUCGAUAGGAUGUCACAAAUUGAAGCUAUGUUAACAAGUACCGUUCGAAGAUAGGCUAUAAACACUUGGUUUUGAAUGUUUCGAUGUUUAUCAUAUUAGGAUAAUUUUAUUUAUUCGAUGUUUUUGUUGACAUUUCUAUUAUUCGACUGUUUUAUAUGCUUUUCAAACAUAGAUGUUUUAUAUAAUUUUGGGUUUUC
rnacentral:lncRNA from 1 species